AUGAGGCACUAUUUCGUGGAGAAUCCCACAUACCCGGAGUCGUACUUUCGUCGCCGGUUUAGGAUGAGCACCGAGUUGUUCAGGCGCAUUGCAGAGAAACUAGCGAGCCAUAACCGGUUUUUUCAGCAAAGGAGGAAUGCAGCCGGAGAGCUCGGGCAUAGCACCUCUCAGAAGGUGACAGCCGCUUUGCGUAUGUUGGCAUACGGUAUCCCGGCUGAUUUAGUUGAUGAUCACUUGGCUAUGGGUGAGAGCCAAGCCAUCAUGUGUGUCAAGCGCUUCGCAGUCGAAAUUGUGCAAGUGUUUGGCCAGGAGUAUUUGAGAUCUCCUAAUGCCGAAGAUGUUGGAAAUAUGCCCUAG
rnacentral:rRNA from 1 species